rnacentral:rRNA from 1 species
AUUGAACGCUGGCGGCAGGCCUAACACAUGCAAGUCGAACGCGUGGCGGACGGGUGAAUAAUGUCUGGGAAACUGCCAGAUGGAGGGGGAUAACUACUGGAAAGGGUCUCUAAUACCGUAUACCCUCGGAAGUGCCCAGAUGGGAUUAGCUUAUAGGUGGGGUAAAGGCUCACCUAGGCGACGAUCCCUAGCUGGUCUGAGAGGAUGACCAGCCACACUGGGACUGAGACACGGUCCAGACUCCUACGGGAGGCAGCAGUGGGGAAGAUUGCACAAUGGGCGCAAGCCUGAUGCAGCCAUGCCGCGUGUAUGAAGAAGGCCUUAGGGUUGUAAAGUACUUUCAGCGGGGAGGCGUUACCCGCAGAAGAAGCACCGGCUAACUCCGUGCCAGCAGCCGCGGUAAUAC